UAUUUUGGUUCAUUUCUUUGUCAGGUUAUCUCAGACUUUGACAAAACACUGACAAAAUUUGUCAUUAAUGGAGAAAAAGGCUGCACGGCUUAUGGUGUGUUUGAAAAUAGCAAAGUAUUCCCUGAAUCCUACAGAGAAAAGGCAAAAGCUUUAAAAGAAAAAUACAUGCCAAUUGAAUAUUCAGGGUAAGGUGCCUUAUUUGUUUCAUUUUUCUCCUAUUCUGGUGGCACAGAUAAACAUUU